AAAUUUGAAAUUUACUUUUUCCGACUCUCUCUCUCUCUCUUCCUUUCCCUGCUUCUCUCUUUUAUCUUUCUCACCCUUUUUCUUUUUCUCUUUCUCUGUCAUCUUUUCUCUUUAUCAUCCUUCAUCUUCUUUAUCUCUAUUCUUCUUCUUCCUCAACCUUCUCCCUCUUCUUAUUCGUCGUCUUCUUCUUCUUCCGAUAUCGUCAGUAAAAUCAUCAUCAUCAUCCUCUUCUCCCUCUGCACUACCAACGAAGUCCUAGCCAAAGAAGACAAAGCGAUCGAACUUGAAUAUGAAGAUGUCACUUUGUAA